ensembl:processed_transcript
AACAGGUGCAGACCGCACCGCUUUUUAUCAUCAAUUAUCAAAGGAGACGCUAUUGGCUUCAAGGAUAGUUCCUGUCUCCUUCAGUUCUCCAUCUGAUUCCACACAGUCUCACUUUCUUCUGUGCCACAUACUGGUUGAACGUCAUCAUCCCGAAAAGAGCUGGCGGAUAUUUUUUUGUGCGACUGAAGUACGUCAAAGCCAUCAUCACACCAGCCUGUCAGACCUCCGGAGUGAAAUUAUCAAGUAACUGUUGAUGCAUGACUUGUCCCAGCAUUCCUGGAUUUGACAAGCCAGAUUGCCCACACACUUCCUCUGAAGGUGUAUGCAGUCACUAUCUUAGAGAUCAAAAUCCAGCCCAGUAUUAGUGCACGAGAUGCCAACUGGACACCUAAGCAGCCAGGACUACCCACAG